UCUCCCUUAAAUGUCAAUAACAAAAUUAGCAAAUAAGGUGCUUAUUAAAUCACGAAAUCAACUACAAAUAUAGUUAAAACUACAACAUAAUGCAUACUGUGCAACAGAACAUCAAAUACAUUCCUUAGAGAUAUCUAUAUUGUCUAAGCGCAUCUUCAUCCUAUCACUAACAACUAGUUCUGCACUGAAACUUCUUUGAUUUCACGAUUUCUAGCCUUGAAUAAAGUUACACUCUGAAUUUAAGCACUGCCUCCAUAUCUACAGCAUCCCUUUUUUUUAUCAAUUUUGUUUCAUAG
rnacentral:lncRNA from 1 species